GAUGAACGCUGGCGGCGUGCCUAAUACAUGCAAGUCGAGCGAACAGACGAGGAGCUUGCUCCUCUGACGUUAGCGGCGGACGGGUGAGUAACACGUGGAUAACCUACCUAUAAGACUGGGAUAACUUCGGGAAACCGGAGCUAAUACCGGAUAAUAUAUUGAACCGCAUGGUUCAAUAGUGAAAGACGGUUUUGCUGUCACUUAUAGAUGGAUCCGCGCCGCAUUAGUUAGUUGGUAAGGUAACGGCUUACCAAGGCGACGAUGCGUAGCCGACCUGGGAGGGUGAUCGGCCACACUGGAACUGAGACACGGUCCAGACUCCUACGGGAGGCAGCAGUAGGGAAUCUUCCGCAAUGGGCGAAAGCCUGACGGAGCAACGCCGCGUGAGUGAUGAAGGUCUUCGGAUCGUAAAACUCUGUUAUUAGGGAAGAACAAAUGUGUAAGUAACUAUGCACGUCUUGACGGUACCUAAUCAGAAAGCCACGGCUAACUACGUG
rnacentral:rRNA from 1 species